UGAGUAACACGUAGGCAACCUGCCCGUAAGCUCGGGAUAACAUGGGGAAACUCAUGCUAAUACCGGAUAGGGUCUUCUCUCGCAUGAGAGGAGACGGAAAGGUGGCGCAAGCUACCACUUACGGAUGGGCCUGCGGCGCAUUAGCUAGUUGGUGGGGUAACGGCCUACCAAGGCGACGAUGCGUAGCCGACCUGAGAGGGUGACCGGCCACACUGGGACUGAGACACGGCCCAGAC
rnacentral:rRNA from 1 species